rnacentral:lncRNA from 1 species
AUUCUUGGUGGUGAUGAGGGUGGUGAUACCAGAGCCUUGAUGUCAUGGAUCUUCCCAGGGCUAGGUUUCAAUACUACUAUUCGAGUAGGUUGAGCAGGAGGAUAUUCAACAAUCUUCUCAUUGGGAAAGGCAGGAGAAUAUCCAAGAUUGCUUUCCCACCCAGUAGCUUGCCCAGUAUGUGCCUGUUGCUUUGUAGGUUUAUCACUCUUCUUCCCUGGCCCAGCAAACCUUUCAUUAUCAACCACCUUAGAAGGCCUAAGAACUGUGAUGUGCUUUGUCUCAGGAGAUGGAGGCAUAGAUUGCAUGUCAUGCAGAUGUUGAGAGAACAAUGAAUUUGGUUCCUGCAGAAACUUGAGGAAUAAAUCUUUAUUGGAACUUAACACUUCUAGUGCAUCUUGGAAUUCCUUGGACUGGCGGCCCUUUUCAUCUGUUGACAGACGUUUUGCUUCCAUGAACUUCUGGCGAACAAGAGCCAUCUUUUUUGUAUUUACAUUUUCAUUGUGAUUUCGUUUUUGAGGUGAACUGUGUCUCACCAUUGUCUUUUGGGAUUGCUGCCAGAUUUCAUAGACAUCUUUGUAUUCACUUUGCUCUUGGCACACGUGACCUUCACUAGGCAUCUGCUUGUCCAAACAACUAUGAUCUUCAUCCCAAGACUCCACAAAUAUCCCAGAGUGACUUAAAGAACGCCUCGAAUAACCUCUAGAGUGGCUUCUUUGUGCAUCAGCUGCAACAGGCUGCUGGUGAGGGAGGGAAUCAAGUCCCAUCAACUUGGCAACCAAAUUGGGUGGAUUAUGCUUAGAUUCCACUUCUUUGGACAUUUCUUGGGCAAUGAGUGUCUUCAUAGGUGUUGCAUUUGCUUUCUUAUUCAAGGAGCUUCUCUUUAACUCAGAUACAAUCUGCAGACCAUACAAAGAUCAGUACACACUGUAUUGUAGUAUCCUAUAAUGCAGGUGUGAGAAAUGCAGACAAGUUCUGCAAAGAAUCUCUCCCUUCACUGGACUAUGGUCAGUAUUACAAAUAAACAAUUUCCAAUAAUUUACCAUUUUAUCCUCAACCUGAUCUCCAAAGGGUACACUCAACAUCCUUGCCACAUCUGAUUGACUCCUUGAGAUUGAAGAACCUGCCAAACCACCAUCUCCAUGUCAGCAACAGUUGGCUUGACAUAAUAUAAUGCAAGAUGCACCACCAACAAUAAUAGAAAAAUAAACAGCCACCAUUAUUCCUACACAGGACAAGUUAGGAAGGAUCUGCUCCUACGUAUAAUAAAACAGGCAUUCAGACCCAGUCAGGCCUGAAAGGUAAUUAUUCCUAACCAUCUCCCGCAAACAAGUUAAAAUGUAAUGUGUUCCAGUGGUGCAUGUAAGAGCUCCAAAUCGAGUUAAGCAAACCAGAAGGGGCAAAUCGAGAUUCUGUGAUGGCUGGAAAAGACAGAAUGCCCACAAAAGCAGACAACAACAGAUGCAAAACAUGCUAGAUGACUCAUUUAUAUUGCUUAAACACCCUGAAUAACAAAACCGUAACAACAGAUGACUGAAGCUGUUUGAAUCAGCAAAUUGCGAAGCAGUUAAAAAAAUUAAAAUCAACACCUACUAAAGCCAGGCAACAGCUGCUUGUCCGAAACGAGAAUCUCAACUACAGAAUUUCAAGCAAGAGCAAUUUGGACAAAAUAAUCACCAUCAUGAUGUGGCUUAUCUGUGAGCAGCCUGUUUCCAGCGACCCCAUUGCUUAAAUCAAAAAGAUUCACCAUCCUGCCCAAGCAUCCUGGAAACGGUUUCUCUAUUUUCUGACCCUUUCUGUACUGCAUCCCGUUCAUCUCAACACCUACUGUAAAACACAAUUCAUCAGAUCAAUUGCCAGUUUAGCACCUCGUGAAAAAACAGAAACUCCAACUCUAAAACAAGACAUCUGUUCAGAGACACAAAAAAGCACAGAGAGAAACAACAUACUGCUAAAAUGAUUGCAUUAACAGAUUAAAGGGGAAAAACAAAAGUGGAGUUUCUAAAAAGUUAAACAGAAACCCCAAAUCUUAUUAUUGUCAAUGAUUGCAUAGGAAAGACAUGACAUGGAAAUUACAUAGGAAAGACAGGACAUGAAGAAAGUAGCUUCUCCAAAUCAGGCAAAACCCUCUGCAGACUUAGAUCAAUCAGAACCAAAUGACAUCCGUUUUUAUCAAAACUUGAACUCACUACUACCUACCCUUCCCCUUCUUAUCCCUCUUUCUGCAGAAGUAUGAGAGCUCAGAAGAUACCACUAAUGAUUUGGAUUUUGCAGUGAAAGAAAAGGAAAUGGGCACGAGAAUCAAGUAAAUCAAUAAAAGAAACCGCUUGUUAAGAAAGUAAAAGAAUCCAAACAAAUCAAAACAAAGAAGCCACCUUGAUUUAAGAGAAAAGCAAACCAAAAAGACAGCUCUCUUUUACUGCAAACAAUAUUCCCUAUUCCCAUGUUCUGUCAAUUUCUCCCAUCAGUAACAAAAACAAAACAAAACCCAUUUUUGUUUUGAAAAAAGUAAUCAAGAACCCAAUUCAGUCAAAAAAAAUUGAAAUUCAGUCAAAAUUUUUGAAAAGGUAUAGGUUUUAAAGCUAAUCAGCUUCCAAAAAAGCUUGACAGAGUCCAUCCAUUGCAGCCAUUUUUUUAACAGAGCCGGAAAAGAAGAGCAAAGGGAGUUAAGAGAAAAGGAGAGAUCAGAGAAAGGGAGGAAAAAGUAGAGAGGUGAUGAACAGAAAAAAGUGAUUGUGUGCUCUAAAAGAGCAGCAGCUGACACAAUAUAGAAAGAGAGUUCUUUAGAGAGAGACAGAGAUAGAGACCUGGCAGACGGAAUCUGACAUUCCGGUGGAAUGUGACCGGAGAUUCGCGCUGUAGAGCAAGGAUGAUGUCACAGACACAGGCACAGCGUGUGAUUUUAGCAGAGAGAAGGAAGAGACUUUGGUGUUUUGUUUUUUUGCUCACCGACUAGGAAGUGAGAGAGAAGGAAGGAAGUGUCGGACUUGAAAUGGUUUCCUUAAUUCUGAUUUAUUUACGUGUUUCGAUUACGAGUUGGUUAACGUUCGAUUUUACUUCGAAAUUUUUUUUUUUUUCAUUUUUAGAAUAAAACAAAUAUUAAAAAUAAGCUAACAAAAAAUAUUUUUAGCUAAUCUAAAAGAAUAUAUAUAUUUUAAACUCGUGUCAAAUAAAAAAAAAUACUUUUCCAAGCAUUAUUAAUUCACAAUAUGAUAACUUUUCUCGUAUUAAUUUUUAAUAAUGUCAAAAGGUGAAAAAUAAAGAAUCUACAGGACUACCCUUCUUAUUCUUUUUUUUCUCUAUUUUAAUGAUUUUUUUUCUUUUGAUAUGGAACAUUGAUUUUUAGUCCUUUUUGUGUUAAUUUGUAAAAUUAUUGUAGGCUAAUUAAUGAAUUAUCCUAGUUUUUUUUUUUUAACACAUACAACUCGAUUAAUCCCACGGGUCCUGAAGUUAACUACCAUGUAAGCUUCCAGUGGUCAUCAUAUUAGCAACCAUAGGGCUCGAAUCUAAAACCACAUAGGGAGCAAACUCUUUGAUUUCAAAUUUUUACCGCUAGGUCACUUACUAAAUGGUUAAUUACUCUGGUUAUUUGAUUUGUAAAUUGAUGGUUAAUACUUAAUACAGUAAAACCAGAAAAAAAAUAUUUAAUAUAAUAUUAAUUAAUACUGUAACAAAUAUUUAAUACAUGUUAAUUAAAAAUGCUUGAGCAAAAAUAAACUAGACCAGAAGAGAAAAAAAAUGCUCUUUAUCUAUAAAAUUCGAUCAUGGAACAAAAAAAAAGAAGUAUAUUAUUUAUUAUUGUCAAUCAUUAGUUUUUUUUCCAGUAAUCUUUAAUGCAGUAGGUUUUUCCUUUUCUAUUUAUCAUCUUUACAAUACAAGCAUAAAGUGGUCAAAUCUAAUAUAUUUACUACCUAGUUUCAAGUAUUUUCAAGAAAUCUCUUACGAAAAUUUUCCAAGGAAAAUAUUCAUAUCGAAACUUCUUUUUCAGGAGAAUGAAACUAUUUAAAAAAAUUUAUUAAAAUUUUACUCGAAUCACAGCUUUAACAAUUAAUUAUUAAAUUAACAAGUCAGUCUAGAUCUAUAUUUUUUAAAAAAAUAUUUGGAUAAAAAAAAUGAUAUUAUUUUUUUAAAAUAGUAAUUGAGUUGUGGGUAUUACUUUUUCAAAAUCAAAAUUUUUUUAGGGAAAUAUUAAGAUCAAACUUUUUUAGGAUAAUAGAUCUAUUUUGAAAUUAAACCCUAAAAGAAUGCAAGUACGUGAUAUUUGCAAUUCAAAUUGAACAGUAGUUAUAAUAAUAACCACCACGUUCAUGUAAUGUUAGCAAUGAUUUGGGAGACAUCAAAGGAUAAGAUGCAACGGGAAAAAAAUCACUGAAAGGUGAAAACAUGGAGGAUAUGAGUACAUUCACUGCCUUGCUGCAAAAAUAAUGUGACUCCAUGAUUGAGCUCUCUGGCCAUAAGAGGCUCUUGCAUUCAAAUUUUGGCUCUUGCAUGCCCUUCAUUUCUUGUUCUUGACAUGACAAGAAGAGGAGCCUGCAAUGUUCAUCAAUGACAAGAUUUUAAAACCUGAUUGAAAGUGUGGUUGCGAUUGCUUUUUAAAAUGUUUUUCAUGCUGAAAUAUAUCAAAAUGAUAUUUUUUUAUUUUUUUAAAAAUUAUUUUUAAAAUCAACGCAUCAAAACGAUCCAAAACAUAUAAAAAAAUUGAUUUUUUAUGGAACACGAUUUACACCGCGUUUCCAACGGUGCCUCAAUCCAUCAUUAUAAGAAAGAAUGAUUGGUUUUGUAUUUGAAAUUGUGUUUGAUUAUAUUUUAAAAGUGUGUUUAACUUAAAAAAACAUCAAAUUGGAUUUUCUUAUUAUUUUUCGAUGAUUUUGAUGCGCUAAUAUUAAAAAUAAUAAAAAUAUACAUAUAUAUAUAUAUAUAUAUAAUGUAUUUUUAAGCAAGAAGUACUUUUAAAAAAAACUUCCUGGUCCAUAAUAGUUUUCACGGUAAUAAUUUAAAAAAACAAGUUAAAAAAAAGUUAUAAAUUAUAAUUUUUUUAAAAUACAAGUUGUUAUUAUAAGUCUAAAUAAAAAAUAAAUUUAAACAAUGAAACUAAAUAACUUUUUAAGUCGUGGUCAGUUUAAAUAUAAUACAAAAUGGAGCCCUUAGGGCACAUUUUUAUUCAAACCACAUUUAUUCUUCAGAACAUGUAAUUUAUGGUGAACAUUCAUUCCGUAGAUUUGUGUUAGGAUUUUCUUUUAUUUCUUAGCCAACACCAUUGAAUUGAAUUAAUAUCUAUUCCACCAGUGUCGUCUAUAGGGAAAGCAACUCUUUCUUUUCUUUUCUUUUCUUUUCUUUUCGGCCCCAUACCAAAUUAAUUAAUAAAUGCCAACUUAUUAUUUUAUUAUGAAGUAACAAAUCCAAUUGACUUGAUAUGAUUUAAGAAUGUGUAUUUUGUAUAGUUACGGGGAGAUCUUGAGUAAUUAUCGCGGUUUUGAUCCGAACAUUGAUUCCCAAAAACCAAGCUCGGGAUGAAGGAAAAUAUCAUCAUAUUAAAACAACCUAAAAAAUUAAAAAAAAUUAAAUUUUUAAAAAACAUGAUUUCAAUUACGUUGAGAAUCACAUCGACGGCCAGCAAUGCUUCCUACGACCCUAACUUGUCGUGAUCGGAGGGUUGAAUCUUACUGAAAUUUUUCCACAUCGUUCCACCUACCCUGUUCCCUGCUUUCCUGGCCCGGAGGACACUUGUGAUAAUGUAGUCGUAAUAAUUAUUUAUUAAUAAAACAUCAACUCGUCUCGUCUCGGACAAACUCCUUAAUUGUCAUGCAUAAACAAGUAAUUUAAGUUGCUCUUAACUUGUGGGUUUUGUAGUUUCCCCUCCUCGGGUUGCAAGAGGAUGAGAUUCUCCAUUUUUCUUUGCCAUCUGGCGAGGACGAGGACAAAAGAGGAUGCUCCUCUCCAUGUAUGAAUAAUAUAUCCCACCUAAAAAUAAUAUGCAAAUUUGUUAACAAAUUCAACUGCGUGUAAUGUUUCCAAUAUAAAACUUAAAAUAAUUGAAUUUUAUAAUAAACUUUGUGUUAGUUGAGCUUUCAUGGGUUACAUCAAUAAUUAACAAGUUGUUGCCUCUGGUAUGGUUGGCUCAUUUUCCAUUAGUCUUGGUAUUAACUAGACUUGUUAAUUGUGCUCUUCCGUGGGCCGAACAUAUGUCGAUGUUAAAAAAUGUUAGGGUAAAAAUAAUUAAAGUCAUGAGUUAUUAAUUUAGUUGGUAAUUUAGAUAAUAUAAAAAAAAAUUAAGCCUAUUCGAAUUAUCAAACUACAUAGUGCCAACUUAAUAGAAUACAAACAAAACUCCAAAAGAAUAAGAAUAAAAUAUCAUUUAAAAAAAAACAAUCAAACUCAAGUGAAACUUCUAAACCUAGUCUAAUCUGUAAAACUCAUAACUCGUUAAAUUCUAAACUCGGCUUCAAUCAAGAAUCUUAACUCUCAACCAUUUUAAUUUUGAAUGAUAAAAUCGUUAGAAAAUAUCAAUAAAAAAACUUGUCAAGGCAAAAAAAAGAACAAUGGUAGAAUUUGAGAGAGAAAAAACCUAAGAAAAUUUUAAAAAAACAAUUUUUAAAAUGAAUCCAAACAAAAUAAAUAUCAAUUAAAAGAAUGAGGAUCAAAUUUGAAAGAUAAAAAAUUAUAAGGGUGAAAUUGAAAAAAAAUGUAAUUUGAUAGAUUAUUUAUAGAUUAAAAAAUAGUAGGGAUGAAAUUGAAAAACAUUAUAGAGUACUAACAAUACAGAAUCAAACUGCAAAAAUCAAAACCCAAAAAAUGGAUAAAAAAUUAGAAAACAUCAACUUAAAAAAAAAAUUAAGCAAACCCGGGCGAAGCUCCUAAACCUGAUAUAAUCUUUAAAACCUACAACUUGUGAGAUCCUGAACCUGAGUUCAAUUAAGAAGCUUAACUCUCAACAAAUUUAAUUCUGAAUGAUAAAAUCAUGGAAAAAAGAUAAAUAAAAAACUUGCAAAAGAAAAAAAAGCAACAAAAAUAAUGGAAAUAAAAUUUGAUUAAAAAAACCCAAAAAUAAUGAAAUUUGUAAGGAAAAAUUAAAAAAAUGAUCCCAAAUAAAAUAAAUAACAAUUAAAAGAAAGAUGACCAAAUUUAAAAUAUAAAAAAUCGCAUGAGGUAAAAUUGAAAAACAUUUGUAAUUUGAUAGAUUAUUUAUAAAUUAAAAAAUAGCAGGGGUUAAAUUGAAAAAAAAAUGUAAUGUGAUAGAUUAUGUAUAUAUUAAAAAAUGAGAGGGAUGAAGUUGAAAAACAUUUGUAAUUUUAUAGUUUAUUCUGAAAUAAAAAAAAUAGUAAUAAAAAAGAUAGAGACUAAACGUGAAGGAGAUAAAAAUUGAAGGGGUUGCUCUGAAAUUUUGCAAGGGUGGUGCAAGUCUCGAGGUGGAUAAAUAGAAGAAUAAAGAGAAAAAACAACAACGCUUCUAAUACACUCGUCAUACCACCGUGUAAAGGACGCUGAGAUCUUCUAAACGGCUUCCUAUAAGGCGAUGUUUGAUGACCGAACGGCCUCGCACGAGCUGACUGAAUGGCACGAGGGUCGUCUACACGCUGGCGCAUGCGUUGCAAGCACCAACAAGUUUUUUUAAAAUAAUACGUAUAUGACAAUUACAAUAAUACUCUUGAGCAACCUCAAAAUCUACAACAAAACCAAUCUAAAAUUACCAGAAAACCUUUACGAGAAAGUUAUAUUGUUUUUGUCUCAAAAAACAUCAAAGUAAUUGCAUUAUUCUUUAAAAAAAAUGACAAAAACAUCCUUAAGGCAAAAACAUUAGAACUUUUUAUUCCAAGGUCAAAACAAUAAUUUUACCGUGUAUAAAAAAAAUAUCAAAUAUAACCCAUAUAAUAUGUUAAGGACAAUUAUAUCAUUUAAUUUUACCUCUUAAAACUUGGUGCACUGUUUAUUUUCAAAGAAAAAUUCAUAAUUAUACUACUAUAAUAAAUAAUAAUUUGUUUAUAGAUACACAAUAACUUAGUAGAUUUUUUUUGUUUUUGUUAAUGAUGUUUAGGUGUACUGACUUCAUUCCUUGCCUGUAUACACACAACAAGAAGCACAAAUGGAGGAGUGAGAUACGGCUAAGUUUAAUGUCACGAACAUCCCAUCUCUCAACCUAAUGGUAUCGUGCUUUAAAAUCUAAUUAAAAUUUUAAAAAUUAAUUAAAUUAUAGAUAUUAAACAAGAUAUGUGUUACAAGUCAAGCGUGCUACCCUAAUUUUUUUUUUUAAAGACUCAAAACAACAUUAUUUUAAAAUUUUAUUAAAAAAAGUCAUUAAAUUGGUAGUCUAACUAAGCCAUGAAUAGAGUAUUUAAUGGUGCGGUAAAAGUAAUCAUAAAGAGUAGUUUAAUUGAUCAGAUCAUGAGUUUAUUUUUUAAUAGUCACGAAUUUGAGUCUCCUCAGAGCCAUUAUAAGUUUAUAUAGUCGUUAACUUCAGGGCCCGUGGAAUUAGUUGAGGUGCGCGCAACCUGGUCUAGACACUCAUGUUAAUUAAAAAAAAUAUGGUAAAAGUUUAUUUUUAGAGUGUUUUUUACUUUAAAAAUAUAUUAAAAUAAUAUAUUUUUAUUUUUUAAAUUUUAUUUCUAAUAUCAAUAUAUCAAUUUAAAAAUAUUUUUUAAAAUAUUAAAUUUUAAUAAAAAAAAACACAUUAAAUUGCAAACCCUUGAGAAUUGCAGCCUACAGUGGUGACCACCUAGCCAGAAAUGUUGAACGCUGACAUUAACCGUAUAAAUUGAGAGGUGGGAUCUUUGGGCAUUUAUAGAUGGUAGGAGAGAUAGCUAGCUAGAAACCUACCACCACCCACUAUCAUUACCCUUACAUGAUAAAAUAUUCCUUGCCCAAAAUUAAUGCUGAGGGGUGAGGGCAACCCUUGAUCUCAGCUUAUCCAGUAUCUUUUUCUUGAAAGAACAUAAAAAAACACAGAGAGAGAGAGAGAGAAUCCAACUAGAAAGGAAUUAAACCCACAUGAAUGAAUUAAAAUCCAGGAAAAUCCAGCGUUGAGUAUAUUAUAUGUGUACAGGAGGGGUUGGGUUUCAAGAAUUUUUUACCAAGUUUAAACUUUUCUACAAAGAAGAAAGAAGAGUUUCAUCCCUUCCGGUGGCCCAUCAGGUUUUCACGCAUGUUCCGAGUGAUCACCUUUGCCGCCGGUCUCCGUUCCUGACCCUCAACAUCUUUAGGUUCAUCGUAAAAAUCUUCACCGUGUAACAUUCUUGGUGGUGAUACCAGAGCCUUGAUCGAUGUCAUGGAACAAUCUUCUCAUCGGAAAAGGCAGGAGAAUAUCCAAGAUUGUUUUUCUCCCACCCAGUAGCCCGGUAUGCGCCUGUUUCUUUGUCAGUUUAUCAUCACUCUUCUUCCCUGACCCUGCAAAUCUUUCAUUAUCAACCACCUUGUAAGGCCUAAGAACAGUGAUGUGCUUUGUCUCAGGAGAUGGAGGCAUAGAUUGAAUGUCAUGCAGAUGUUGAGAGAACAAUAUUGAAUUUGGUUCCAGCAGAAACUUGAGGAAUAAAUCUUUAUUUGAACUUAACACUUCUGGCGAACAAGAGCGAUCUAAUAUAUAUAUACACAACUUAAUUUGAAAUAUUUUCAAGAAAUUUCAUAUCAAACUUUUCUUUGGAAAAUAUUCAUAUCAAACUUUUUUAGGGGAAUGAAUCUAUUUGAAAUUAAACCUUCCAAAAAUAAAUUAAACCUCUCAGCAUAAUUAUAAACUUGGUCCACGUCAAGGGUUGGACAAUUGAACCAACCCUAAUUUAGUUGGUCGAUCUAGAUUUUUUUUUUUCAAAAUAUUUAGGUGAAAAAAUUAAAAAAAUAUUAUUUUUUUAAAAAAUUAAUCAGGUAUUAUUCUUACUCAAGUUUUGACUAGGUUAUAGGAGUUAAUCCACCGAGUCAUCGUAGUUUCUUAGCAUCAACUCAUAUGUGGUUAAAUAGUAGUUUUUUCUUUCAUAUUUAUCAUCUUUACAAUAAAAAACAUAUUUGAUCAAAUCUAAUAUACAUACUACUUAAUUUGAAAUAUUUUCAAGAAAUUUCAAAUUAAACAUUUUUUUAGGAAAAUCAUGAAAUCAAUCUUUUUUAUGAGAAUAAAUCUAUUUAAAACUAAACCCUAAAAAAAAAAGGCAAGUACGUGGUAAAUGACUAAAUUUUAUAAGGGAUUGCAAAUUUUCAAUUCAAAUUCAAUAGUAGUUAUAAUAUCCAUCAUUUCUUAUUUUUGACAUGAUUGGAAAGUGUUUGGAAGUGUAUUAGUUGUUAUUUGUAAAAUAUAUUUUAUUUAAAAAUACAUAAAAAGGAUUCAAAAACAAAAAAAUAAUUUUAAACAAAAAAAAUUAAUUUAAUAAAAACACAAUUUCAACCACGUUUCUACAUAAAAUCUUAAAAACAAAGAAAAGAAGUCCACAACAUUCAAAAUAGACAAAACUCACUCCAUCUUUAAG